rnacentral:misc_RNA from 1 species
UGGACGGUGCAUGGAAAGUUUGUUAAUAUUACAUUUUAGAGGUGCCCCUAUCGACAAAUAUAUCAUAAUCAUGUGUGAAUGACCUUUUUGUAAUCUCCGUAGGCCCUCUAUUACUUUUAUCAUGAUCCAACUAAAAAAAUGGGACCCAUCUAUGUUGAAAUAUAACAAAGUCAACAUCAUUGCUUGCUGUAAUUAUCAAUCCAUGUGAUUCCUUGUAUGAAAUCUAUCCUUACACGUGUAACCUCCACACGAAACACCUACGCCCCUACCCAGUCAACCAGAUGCUUGCCACCUGACCAAUCA